UCGGUUUGGGAACGGCUUUGGGUUUGUGUGCACUUCUGAUUUUCUGUCUCAUUUAUUUCAUACUGAGGAGAAGAAAAUGGGAUAAAACGAAAACUAGUAUAGAAGAUUUUCCAGGAAUGACACAGGAAUCUGAAGCUGAAACACUGAAUUAUGCAGCUGUGCAAUUCUCUAAGAGGAACCCCAAAGCUGAAACAAAGAAAACUGGCUCUUCAGAUGAGUGUGUGUACUCCGGUGUGAAGAAAACUCUAAGAUGUGACAGAAAUAAUUUAUAACGCAUGGUACUGUUACACGGCAAAUACAAUGACUAUUGUUCAUUACCAUGAUAUGUUAUGAUAUAUGAUAUGCCAACAGAAAAAAGCAGAAUUGCCCAGAAAUCAUACAUUUGUUUACACUAAUCUCAUAAUAAGAAUUAUAUUAAAGUUGCCUGUAUUUAAGAUUUUUUUAUUUGCAGUGUCGAGAGAUGUCUGUGCUCAAGGUUUUUAUUUCUGUGCACACAUUUAAAAUAACUACUGGUGUUUUUUCAUGAUGAUUUCUUUCGGUUCAAGUGUCAGUAUGUUAACUUUCAGUAAGAGUGACCUUGUAAAAAUCCAACUUGUAUGUUUUUUUGUUUUUAGUUUCAUGAUUUCAGUAAUGCCCCGUGUUGUGCUAUUGAAAGAUUUUAUGGGCUCAUUUGUAUGUCUGAUUUUUAAUAGAUUAAAUGUAAAAAGCAAUUCCAUAAAAAAAGUAACAAAAAACAUGGUCUUUAACAUUAUUCUAAAAAUUAUUCUGUGAGUAAUGUUCCAUUUCUAGUAUAUUUUCAAAAAAGAUGUGGCUUGCCUAGAAAUGCAAGUUACUGUCUAUUUGACUGUGACCUCGACAUUACUGUAUGCCAUUUAUUAUAUGAUUUACAUCUUUAGAGACUCAGAUAGUGGUGUGAGUUUUACCAGUGGAAGUGAAACCAGUGAAUGCAGUGAGGAUGAUUAAAUCAGCAAUAAAAAUACAACAAAUCUAAUGGAUAUAUUAAUCUUAAUACAGACUGUGUUGCAGAAAUGACUUCCAACCUCUUCUAAGGCUGUUUUUGUCACUGAUCUUUGCCUUUUAAAGAUUUUGUUUUCCUCUUUGUGGAGCUCAGAACGUGGAAGUAGUUUUCUACAUGAUUGAGUGUCGAGUAAAUUUUUUCAAACACAUUUUACAUGAACUGAAAUGAAACAACAAGAUAAACCCUUCCAGCAUGGCACGGGGGUGUAGUGGUUAGCACUGUUACCUCACAGCAGGAAGGUUCUGGGUUUGGGCCCCAUGGCAGACGAGGGGCCUUUCUGUGUGGAGUUUGCAUGUUCUCCCCUCCGAGUGUUCCAGUUUCCCCCACAGUCUAAAGACAUGUUUUGAGAUUAUCAUGGGGCAGCCAUAGCCUUAAGUGCCCUUGAACAAGGCACUUAGCUCUGGGCAUGUGUGUGUACCGUAUGUGCUCAUUGCUCUCUUGUGUGUGCAUAUGUGUGUUCACUGCUGCAGAUGGGUUAAAUGCAGGCAACGAAUUUCACUGUACUUGAGUGUGCAUGUGACAAAUAAAGAAGUGAAGCCAUAA